rnacentral:rRNA from 1 species
AGCGAACGCUGGCGGCAGGCCUAACACAUGCAAGUCGAACGAACCUUUCGGGGUUAGUGGCGGACGGGUGAGUAACACGUGGGAACGUGCCUUUAGGUUCGGAAUAACUCAGGGAAACUUGUGCUAAUACCGAAUGUGCCCUUCGGGGGAAAGAUUUAUCGCCUUUAGAGCGGCCCGCGUCUGAUUAGCUAGUUGGUUGAGGUAAUGGCUCACCAAGGCGACGAUCAGUAGCUGGUCUGAGAGGAUGAUCAGCCACAUUGGGACUGAGACACGCCCAAACUCCUACGGGAAGCAGCAGUGGGGAAUCUUGCGCAAUGGGCGAAAGCCUGACGCAGCCAUGCCGCGUGAAUGAUGAAGGUCUUAGGAUUGUAAAAUUCUUUCACCGGGGACGAUAAUGACGGUACCCGGAGAAGAAGCCCCGGCUAACUUCGUG